rnacentral:lncRNA from 1 species
AUGGAUGAAAACAACACCUGUGUAAAGAGUUUAUGUUGGUUUCCAUGGAGAUCUGGAGGGUCUUACUUUGUAGCCCCGGCUAUCCUCCUGCCUCAAGAAGCUGAGAAUUUUGUCUUGCUUUCCUUCUUUCCGUUUACGUCCACGUGCGUGUGUAUACAUGGUUACGUAUUGGCGUUGACACCUCCUACAUACAAGUCACAAUUGCCAGCCUUGGGGACACAGCAGUGCCCGUCUUCAUUGGUACUUCCAGUCUAGCGAGGAAGCAGAAUAUAAAAUUCCCACAAUGAUUAGUAACUAUUAUGACAAGCUCCGAGAAGUCCCAACUGCAGUGAGUGUAUCAUGGGCCCCACACUGGUCUGGGGGAAGGGGCUCACACUAUCCCAUUUGCUCCCUCCCACUGCUGUCCCCAUCCUGAGAGUGGCAUUGAGAGAGAAACCUUGGGAAGGAUACACUGGCCCAAGGAAGGAGGGUGAGAGCUGGGAGGGAGGGGACCUCAGCAGUGGUACCUCCCGCUCGCUCUGUCAGUCUCAGCAAGCUGGGAAUGGCAGGUGGAGGUAAGGAGAGGCGCUGAGGAGGGGGUCUGCAGAACUGCAGGACAAGGUGUCCCUCCAGCCUGCAGCCUCUGGGU